rnacentral:misc_RNA from 1 species
UCUCCGUUGGUGAACCAGCGGAGGGAUCAUUACCGAGUUACAACUCCCAAACCCCUAUGUGAACGUUACCAAACUGUUGCCUCGGCGGGAAAUUCAUGCCCCGGGCGCGUCGCAGCCCCGGACCAAGGCGCCCGCCGGAGGACCAACCAAAACUCUUUUGUAUGUCCCUCGCGGACUUUUAUAAUUCUGAACCAUCUCGGCGCCCCUAGCGGGCGUUUCGAAAAUGAAUCAAAACUUUCAACAACGGAUCUCUUGGUUCUG